CGAAGCAAUCGGAAGUGGUUCCAAGAAAAGCCUCUAAGCUUCAGUCAUACGAGACCGUACCGCAAACCGACACAGGUGGGCGAGAUGAGUAUUCUAAGGCGCUUGAGAGAACUCGGGAGAAGGAACUCGGCAAAUUGGUACCGUAACUUCGGGAAAAGGUACGCCCUUGUAGCUUGGCUGAUUUACUUCAGUAGGGCGAACGGGUUGCAAUAAACUGGUGGCUGCGACUGUUUAAUAAAAACACAGCACUCUGCAAACACGAAAGUGGACGUAUAGGGUGUGACGCCUGCCCGGUGCUGGAAGAUUAAAUGAUGGGGUGCAAGCUCUUGAUUGAAGUCCCAGUAAACGGCGGCCGUAACUAUAACGGUCCUAAGGUAGCGAAAUUCCUUGUCGGGUAAGUUCCGACCUGCACGAAUGGCGUAACGAUGGCCACACUGUCUCCUCCCGAGACUCAGCGAAGUUGAAGUGUUUGUGAUGAUGCAAUCUACCCGCGGCUAGACGGAAAGACCCCAUGAACCUUUACUGUAGCUUUGCAUUGGACUUUGAAUCAAUCUGUGUAGGAUAGGUGGGAGGCUUAGAAGCGGGGACGCCAGUUCUCGUGGAGCCAUCCUUGAAAUACCACCCUGGUUCAUUUGAGGUUCUAACCUUGGCCCGUUAUCCGGGUCGGGGACAGUGCAUGGUAGGCAGUUUGACUGGGGCGGUCUCCUCCUAAAGUGUAACGGAGGAGUUCGAAGGUACGCUAGGUACGGUCGGACAUCGUGCUAAUAGUGCAAUGGCAUAAGCGUGCUUAACUGCGAGACUGACAAGUCGAGCAGGUACGAAAGUAGGACAUAGUGAUCCGGUGGUUCUGUAUGGAAGGGCCAUCGCUCAACGGAUAAAAGGUACUCUGGGGAUAACAGGCUGAUUCCUCCCAAGAGUUCAUAUCGACGGGGGAGUUUGGCACCUCGAUGUCGGCUCAUCACAUCCUGGGGCUGUAGCCGGUCCCAAGGGUAUGGCUGUUCGCCAUUUAAAGUGGUACGUGAGCUGGGUUUAAAACGUCGUGAGACAGUUUGGUCCCUAUCUGCCGUGGGCGUUGGAAAUUUGAAGGGGGCUGCUCCUAGUACGAGAGGACCGGAGUGGACAGACCUCUGGUGUACCGGUUGUCACGCCAGUGGCAUUGCCGGGUAGCUAAGUCUGGAAGAGAUAACCGCUGAAAGCAUCUAAGCGGGAAACUUGCCUUAAGAUGAGAUUUCCCAGAGCCUUGAGCUCUUUGAAGGGUCGUUCGAGACCAGGACGUUGAUAGG
rnacentral:rRNA from 1 species